AUUGAACGCUGGCGGCAGGCCUAACACAUGCAAGUCGAGCGAGCGGCGGACGGGUGAGUAAUGUAUGGGGACUGCCCGAUAGAGGGGGAUAACUACUGGAAACGGUGGCUAAUACCGCAUACUAUCGGAUAACCCCAUUGGGAUUAGUUAGUAGGUGGGGUAAAGGCUCACCUAGGCGGCGUUCUCUAGCUGGUCUGCGAGGAUGAUCACCCACACUGGGAGUGAGACACGGCCCAGACUCCUACGGAGGCGGCAGGGGGGAAUAGUGCACAAUGGGCGCAAGCCUGAUGCAGCCAUGCCGCGUGUAGGAAGAAGGCCUUAGGGUUGUAAAGUACUUUCAGCGGGGAGGCGUUACCCGCAGAAGAAGCACCGGCUAACUCCGUGCCAGCAGCCGCGGUAAUUC
rnacentral:rRNA from 1 species